rfam:Schistosoma rodhaini strain Burundi genome assembly, scaffold: SROB_scaffold0003801
AUUCAACUGACGAGUCCCGAAUAGGACGAGACGUACGUCCUGAAU